AUUGAACGCUGGCGGCAGGCCUAACACAUGCAAGUCGAACGGUAACAGGAAGAAGCUUGCUUCUUUGCUGACCAGUGGCGGACGGGUGUGUAAUGUCUGUGAAACUGCCUGAUGGAGGGGGAUACCUACUGGAAACGGUAGCUAAUACCGCAUAACGUCGCAAGACCAAAGAGGGGGACCUUCGGGCCUCUUUCCAUCGGAUGUGCCCAGAUUGGAUUAGCUAGUAGGUGGGGUAACGGCUCACCUAGGCGACGAUCCCUAGCUGGUCUGAGAGGAUGACCAGCCACACUGGAACUGAGACACGGUCCAGACUCCUACGGGAGGCAGCAGUGGGGAAUAUUGCACAAUGGGCGCAAGCCUGAUGCAGCCAUGCCGCGUGUAUGAAGAAGGCCUUCGGGUUGUAAAGUACUUUCAGCGGGGAGGAAGGGAGUAAAGUUAAUACCUGUGCUCAUUGACGUUACCCGAAGAAGAAGCACCGGCUAACUCCGUG
rnacentral:rRNA from 1 species